ensembl:lncRNA
CUUGUGGCUCAGCUGGUAAAGAAUUGCCUGCAAAUGCAGGAGAGACCAGGGUUCCAUCCCUGGGUUGGGAAGAUCCCCUGGAGAAGGGAAAGGCUACCCACUCCAGUGUUCUGGCCUGGAGAAUUCCAGGGACUAUACAGUCCAUGGGGUGGCAAAGAGUCGAACACGACUGAGCGACUUUCACUUUCCCUUCACUUUCAUGAGUAGAUAAUGUUCACAAAGUGCCUAGAAAGUGCCCACGCUGAGGGCAGCUGCUAUAGUUGUAGGUAUCAUCACUUACUGCCUACCCAGAGAUAGGCAUUCCCUCCUCUCACUGGGGCUUUCCUUGGUUUUCAGCUCCUAUUUGGGAAAUGCAAGGUUGAGGAAGACAUGGAUGGGAAAAGUCUGAGGAUGGGAGAGAGUCAGGGGCUUGGUUCCAUCCCUAACUCUCUGAACCAAAUUUUCCAGCUAUAACUGGGGUUGAUAGCACAGUCCCUGACAAUCCACAGAGGGGUAAAGACCAUGGAACGAGAAAAUAAACCUGGAAACACUUGUAAACUGUGAAGUGCUGUCUACAUCCAAAAAAGAAAAAAAUUAAAAUUUUGUCUUAAAGGGUCUUGGAUUGGUCAAGAAGCAAACUAGAUUUAGGCAGUGAGUCACCGAGGGUCCCCAUGAGAAAGGCCACUGGACUUGAUCUUCACUCCUGGAGCCCACCAUGUCAUGCCAUGCUGGGACAAGGGUGCGGAGGGAGAUCCUACAAUCAGGAGGCUUCAGGGUCCAGUUAGCCAAGAGGCAAAGGUGUUCUGGGAGCACAAAGGAGGGAGGAAGUUGGCUCGCUGGGGUGAGGCAGGGAGGAAGACUUCCCGAGGAGUCAGCCUUGAGAGGACUCUUUAAGGAAUGGUUAUAGCUCCCAUGGGGAGAAAGGGAAGUAUAUCGCAGUCAGAGACAAAUUAUAGCAGAAAAAUCCAGGGAUGAGAAAGUGUGUAGUGUGUUCAGGGAAAGGACAUGAAAUGUGGCUGAAAUGCAGGGCAGGAAGGAGGGAGGUUCAGAUGAAGACAAGUUGGGCAGGGCUUCCAGUGCUUUCCUGCUGCUGCUGCUGCUGCUGCUAAGUCGCUUCAGUCGUGUCUGACUCUGUGAGACCCUAUGGACAGCAGCCCACCAGGCUCCUCCAUCCACAGGAUUCUCUAGGCAAGGAUACUGGAGUGGGUUGCCAUUUCCUUCUCCACCAGUGCCUCCCUAGGGAGCUCAGACUCUAUCCUGAGGUUGAUGAGUGUAUAUGAAGGCUUUGCAACAGGGGAACGAUGUAGUCAGGUGGGGGUUCUAGAAAGAUCCCUGUGGUAGGUGUAGAGGAUAUUUAAAGGCAAGAAGAGGGAAGAGAGGACAGACUGAAGCCGUUGCCUUGAGUUGAAGGUGGCCUGAGCUAAGGCAAUGGCAAGAGGGUGGGAGAAGGGACAGAUGGGUGAAACCUUUCCAGAACAGAACAGCAGAAUAUUCAGUAGAAUGAUUUAAGGAGAGAAGACUGGCCCUCUCCAGUCCCAGAAAAGAUACAUGUUCAGAACAUUGAUCAGCUCACACUUCGGAAGGAGGAAGCCAGUGGUCCCUAUCCGCUGCAUCAGCAGUGCUGGGGAUGGUGGAGGCUUGAUUGACCAGCCCAUCACAUGUGCAAGACCCAACCCAACCAUUGUACCAAGGAGAAUGGGGCCCUGUGACUGGCCUACUUGCCUUUCCCAGUGGUCUUUAGCAGAGCCCCUGCUGUAUGUACCCCAGUCCCAGUGUCAGACAUGGCAGCACACAGGCGUCUAAGGCAUCGGGAGAUAUGAUACGAUGAUGAGGAAACGAAGGUUAGAUCCAAGCCUUCCAGGGAUGAAGCUCACAUGCCAGGGCCACCACACUGCAGUGCUGCUGGAGCAAAUGCGAUGUGAGAGUUCACUGCAAACCCUCCUCUCUGUGUCAACGGUGGUAGCCACAAAGGGCACCCCAGAGGAGUGGGAGUCCCCACGGGAGCAGCUCUCAGGGGAUCCCAGAAGACAGUCCUGUGCUUCUAUUCAGAAACUCAGCCUCUUAAGGACCCUGGAGAAAAUUUCAUUCAUGCCCUGGGAGAAAUGCAUGCCACUUGCAAAUGCAGAAACAGCCCAAAAAGAGGGGAGCAUCUUGUUCAAGGUCACACAGUGAGCCAUGAUGGAAACCCGUCCAGAGUGCAGCUCGCCUUACCCCUGGUCAGAGGAUGGAUACUAAGGUGUCCUUGGGGCCGUGUCGUCUGAGACUCUGGGGAGAGAAUCCUUUCUUGCCUUUUCCUGCCGUCUAGUGGUGGCCGUCAGUCCCUGGCAUUCUGUGGUUUUCAGCUGCAUUGUUCGAAACUCAGCCUCUGUCAUCACGUCGCGUUCUCCCUGUGUGUCUCUCUCCUCUUAUUUGGGAUCUUUGUUUCCCAGACGGGGGACUGAACCCGGGCCCACGGCGGUAGAAGCCCAGAGUCCUAACCAUUGUACUGCCAGGGAAUUCCCUACCUGCUUCUCUUCUUAUAAAGACAGCAGUUAUAUGAGAUUAAAGGCCUACCCUAUUUCUGCAUGACCUCAUCUUCUAUUUGCAACAACUGAAUCCCCAAGUAAGGUCACAUUGUGAAGUGCUAAGUUUUAGUCCUUCAAUGUCUAUCUUUUGGGGACACAAUUCAACCCAUUACAGA